CCACCGCACCUGGCCUGUAAUCAUCCUUAAUCUAGUAAAGAUAAAUACAAGGGUCUUAAAGUUUCUUCUCUAAUUCCUAAACAAUACUUAGGGAUUUGGUAUGAAAUAUUCAGAAGUUGCAUCAACAAAUUUUUACAUUGUGGUUUUAGAUAAAAAGAAGGCUAAAUUUCAAAAAUGCUGAGUGAGUGAUAGGAGAGUAUGAUAUUUCAGAUAGAUUGAUAUCUUUCUGUCAAGAAAUCUUACAAAUUCCACCCUUUCUUUUGACCUCUUUAGAAAUCAUACCUGAAUGCAAGUGAAGGAUUGGGACAUUAUUUAAAGAAAAAUAACUUGAAUCAUCUGUAGUUGUAAAAUAUUAAAGGCAUCCAAAUAUAUGAUAUUUAAAAUUUUCAUUUAAACAAAUUAUAUCUGAUAUACUUCAUAUCUUACUGUGUUUUAGUUCCCUGAGUUUUCUCAGAUAUUUUAAAAAUUACUUUAUUGAGAUAUGAUUGACUGUACAAAAACAUUAUACCCAUUUAAUCUAUAUGACUUGAAGAUUUUGGAGAUACGUGUACACCCAGGAACUCAUCACAAUAUAUGCCAUAAACAUACCCAUUACCUCCCAAUGUUUCCUCCUACCCUCUUUAUUUAUUGUUACAUUUCUGUCACAGAAGGGAUAACAGAAGAUACACCCUUUAGCAAAUUGGGAAGUGUACAAUGUAAAAUAAACUACAGGCACGAUAUUGUACAGUAAAUCUCCAGUACUUAUUUGUCUUGCAUCACUGAAACUUUGUACCCUUUGACUAAUUUUGUGUCCUUUGACCAACAACCUUCACACCAUCAACAAUGUUAAAUAUGUGAGGUAAUAUAUAUGUUAAAUAGCUUGAUUUAAUUAUCCUGCACACACACAUUGUACACAGACACAUAUCAUGUUUUACACCAUAUAUAUAAUUUUACUGUUAUAUGUUUAUACAAGUAAUUAUGCUCAUAAUUAAAAAUAAGGAAACAAUAAAAAAGUAUUGGAUUAGGAAUCAAUGCAGAAUUAGGUUCAAGUCUUGAUAUCUCUUCAAUUAUUAAUGGGCAAGAUUUACUUCUCUGGAUCUCUCCAUCUGUAAAUUUAGAGUUUGGGUUAGGUGAGCUUUAAAGUUUCUUUUAGCUCUUAAUUAUACAAAUCCUUUCAUGAAUAAUUCUCAAAUAAUCACAAUUAUUCCCUAGAAAAUUCUGAGAGAAGGAUUUUUGUAAGUGAAUAUUAAAAAAAUCACACAGGACAAGAGAAUAAAAUAUGUAAUUUCAAGUUUUAAUAAUUAAAAUCAGAUUUAUUUCCUAAAAUAUUAAUAUCUUGGAUAUUAUGGGGCAGUACUUGCUCUGAGAUUCUAAAAGAAGCCAGCAUCUGUUUUUUCAUGAUGUUUUUGGAAAAGUCCACUAAAGACCUCCUGAUGCUACUCUUUCAUUUUGGUAAAUGUUAAACAUCACUACAUAAUCUUAAGACUAUAACUGUGUGUUAGAAAUUCCUAGUUUAUGUUUUUUCUUGGGUUCUCUUCCUUGACCUUGACAUGUCCAUUUAAUGAAACCUGCUCAAAUUUGAGGCUCAUUUAAUUUGUUUCUCACAAAUCUUCUGUAUCUACUUUUACAUAUGUUCUUACGCCUGUGAAUUCUCAUGGCCCCUUGUCCUAGGGUGCCUCAGCGUAAUCCUCCUUUAUUAGUAAUAUAUGAUAUAUGUUACAUUAAUGCCUUAAGGCCUUGAACUAUUCACUCAUCCUGAAAUACUUUCUUCAGAUCUUUCUGAUUGGCUUUUUCUUGUUAUCCAGGUCUUAGUUUAUAUUCUACCGCUGCAAAAAGCUCUCUGAUCAUCUAACGUAAAGUAACUUCCCAGUUACUGUCUAUUUUAUUGUCAUGUUUUACUUUCUUCAUAGCACUAUUUAAAGUUAUUUUAUGUAUGUCUCUCUCAUUAAAAUGUAAGUUUCCUGGAGACAAAAGAUGCUCAAUAAAUAUGUAAUGAUGAUAAAUUUUUUGUAGGUAUGCAUUUUAUUCAUUUUGCUGGAGAAGGCAUUCACCUUAGAAUAGAGUUAUUUCUGUUUCAUUUCUUUUAUCUUCUGUAAUAUCUGAUGUAUGGUCUUGCACACCAGAAAUUCUCUGUAGAUAUUCUUAAUGGAAUUAUGUUAAUGUGACAGAAAAAAACAGUAGAAAAUUGGAGCUGUUACUCUCCAUUCUAUUUGCCAAAUGUAGUUUGUACUGUAACAUCAUUUCAUUUCAUGGGUUCUUGACUUGAUAAAAAAUAAAGAAAAGAAAGAGAACCCCACAGUUUUAGCAUGCUAACUUAAAAAUCCAUAUAAAGGCCAAGCAACUGCAUGCCCAAAGGAAACUUUGAUUUAAUUAUUUGCUAAAAAGAUGUCCAUAUCUAUUUAACUGCCAUUCAGAAAAAUCAUGAGUUUCGGAACUACAGUUCUUAUAAUAAACCUACAAAUAUAAUUAUUCAUUAAUAUAACUAGGAACAUUUUUUAUAGACCUGGUAUAAUCACAGAAUAAUCGAUCCACCAGAAAUGUAACAUUUUUACUAAUGAUUUUGAAAUGUCAAAUGAUAUAUAAUGCUUUAAUUGAUGUAGGCUAUUCAGAAACACCUAAGUCAUUGUGACUAUAUAAAAGAAAUAAAAGGAGAAGAUUUCUAAAGUGUCUAGUUCAUUUUCAUGUAAACAGGAGAAUAAAUGAAAGCAAUGUUUUACUUAUUCAACAUAAACUGGACUGGAUUAAGAUCAGACUUGCUACUUUCAGUUAAAUUUACUAUUAAAUUGAUAUUCAUUAGAAUGUUAGAACAAGGAGGGAUUCUAGCAGUCAUUCAAAUGAGGUUAUUAUAAGUGAGGAAACUGAACUAAAACAAUCUAUUCAAUGUUGUAAAACUAGGAACUAAAACAAUCUAUUCAAUGUUGUUAAACUAGCUACUCUAGAUUAGCUCAGCUUUAAAGACUCGCUAGAUGUCCAGAUGCAAGCACCUGCCUCUUAGUCCAAUGCUUACUCCACAAUAUAGCCUUUUGACUCCUAUUUCAAGGGACACCAAAGAGUAAAAUUCUGUAACAGGUACUCAGCAGGGUUGGAAGCUAAUAGGAUUUGGACUCAUCUAUUAUAUAUCAAGAAAAGGAUCUCCAGUUUAUAAUAAUACAUUGUAAUCAAGUCAAUACAGUAAUAUUAAAAUUAUAUCAAGUCCUGAAAAAUAUCUUUCUUUGAAUAUUUGGGAGGCACUUGUGGAUCUAAUACUGCUUUCUUUAUGAAAUUUCAUAAGAUUUACAUUGUCUAUGAUCACUAAGAUUCUGGUUAUCAGAAUGCAAAGUAGAGAAGUAUGUAAAGGUACUGCUUUAGUGUGUGUAUUAGUAGGAAUUAUUUCAGUUGCAAAAGGCAAGAACUCAGCUCAAAUUAGUUUAUACAAAAGAAGCUCACUGGCUGGCAAGAAAAGAGUAGCUUAAAGUUGAAAGCAAGAGAUACAGAAAAACGAAGCACCUAGGGCAGGAAUUAUGCACUCAGAAUUGCUAAAAUAUUAUCUUUCUUUUCUUAUCUGUGCUUAGUUUCAUUCUUCAUAUUUUAAAUAAGAUACGGCCCCUGGCCAUUCCAGUAUUAUUUCCUCUCAGUUUAGCAACACUGUCCCUUCCCUUAAAGGGGUAACAGCUUAUUUAUUCCAGGUUCUAUAGAUUAAUAUUAAGGAAGGUCUUGAAUUGGCACAUCUUAGGGUGUUUGUUGGCAACAGGGGAAUAGGGAAUUCCUGUAGCAAGGUAACAUGAUUGAAAUGUUCACAAGAACCACAUGCCACUGGGGAAUAGUGACUCUACCUCCCAAAAGAUGCUAAAUUGUAAAAAGAUGCAACACUAAAAAAAGUACCCCUUAGAAUAUUCAUGAUAAUAGAAUUUGCCUUGCUAAUGUCCCAUAAGUUAGUUGUUACAGAGGUGUCAUUGCCAAUUUCCAGUAUUUCCCUUAUGCAGCUUACAAGUUUACAAAGAUUAAAAAAUGAUAAAACCUAACAUUGGUGGAGGUGAAGUGAGAUGGGCCUUCACGUAACACUGGAGGAAGUGUAAAUUGGUAAAACCUUUUUGUAAAGCAAUUUGAUAAAAUGUCAAGAAAAUUAAAAUAGUUCACACUUGUAGAUACAGUAAUUCCACUAAUAAAAUAAUUAAAAUGUGGGUACAUACUUAUGUGUAAUAUUUUAUGUAAUUUGAAUAUUAGAAACAAAAUCAAUGUUUAGUAAGGUUUACUCAGUUAAAUAUAAAUAUAGUCAUGUACCACAUAAUGAUGUUUCAGUCAAGACAGGUGACAUAUACGGGCCAAUAAGAUUAUAACACUAUUUUUACUGUUCAUUCUCUAUGAUUAGAUACACAGAUGCUUACAUUGUGCAACAGCUGCCUAUAGUAUUCAGCACAGUAAUGUGCUAUACAGUUUUGUAGCCUCUAGGCUAUGCCAUCUAGCCUAGUUGCGUAGUAGACUAUACUAUCUACGUUUGUGUGAGUACCCUCUGUGAUGCUCACAUAAUGAGGAAAUCACCUAAUGGCACAUUUUGCAGAAGACACCCCUAUUGUUAAAUAAUGCAUGACUGUAUGUGAUAGGCUACUAUGCAGAUUACGCCUAAUACCCUCACAUGAUUUUGAUAAUAUAUUGUCAUUGCAAACUUGAAAGGAAACAACUUCCUAAGUCAUUGGCAAUGAUGUAAAUUCAUGCAAACUCGUUGGAUAAAAUUAUAUAUAAGAUGUAUCAUAAAAAUAUAUAUCAAAAUUAGAAAUGCAAAUAUGACCUAGAAAUUUUAUUUUUAGGAAUUUAUCUCAUAUAUAUUCUAGUAUGUACUCAAAUAAUGUUCACAGCAAUACUGUUUGCAAUAGAAAAUGUCUGGAAAUAAGUCAAAUUUCCAACAAUGAGGGACAUAUUGAAUAAAUUCUGCCAUUAGAAAGGAAUAAUUUGUAUAUUAAUCUGCAAAAUAUGCUAAAUGAAAAAGCAAAAGUUCAAACACUGUCUGUAUAGUAGACCCUCAUUUCUCUAGAAAUAGAUAACAGUUGUGUAGUGGACUUGACUGAGUUCACUAAUAGCUAGUUCUUCUCUCCCUGGACAUACAGAAGAUUAUAGUUUCCAUACUUCUUGCAGUUAACUGAAGCCAGGAAACUAGAUCUGGCAAAUAAAAUGAGUGGGACUGACUUUUGAGCUGACAAAAAUGAAGAGCCCUUUUUAAAUUCUGCCAUCUCUCUCUUUCCUUGCAGUGUUAAUGCACAAGGUCUUGUGUUGAAAAUGUAGAGCCACGAGAUAAAAGCAGCUUGGAUGGCUGACUCAUAUACAAGGGCAACUGCCUGAGAGUCACCAGGACUAUCAAGAAGUUUGCAGAAACAAGAAAUAAACUUUUACUGUUUUAAACUUUUGUGAAUUUUGGGUUUUGUUUAUCACCAAAUAAACCUAGUCUAUUCUGAUUGUUAUAAGUGGUUAAUUUGGGAAGUCAGAUAUAUUUAAAAUUGGCUUACUGCUGUAACAUAUACAGUCCAAAUUACAUAAUGGCUCCAAUGCAAUAGAAGUCUUUGUUUUUUUUUGCUCACAUAUCACUUCAUUGAGAUUCUGCAUUAAUUGUAAUGAGGAGGGUGGGGGUGUCUUAUAUCAUACAGUUGUUCAGCAACCCAGGAUGACCAACUUUGUAAUAUUUUUUCCCACUGGCUUCUAAAGUUCUCAUAGAUAGUAAAAUUCAUUUGGAAGAAGGAGAAACAGCAUGGAGGAUUGCAGAUGGAGAUUUUUAUGGGAAGGCUUGGAGGUUUGGAGGUUGCACAUUACUACUUUUACUUGUUGGCUAGGAAACUAUCAUGUGGUCACACCUAAGUGCCAGUGAGUCUGACAAUGUGGCAAUUUGGUUGCGGGCCAGGGGUAAGAGGCAAUAAAUUUUGCUCAAUAAUUAUCAGUUUUUGCCACAGAUGGAGGGACUUUUCAUUGUAUAACUAGUUGUUACUGUUUGAAUUUAAAACAGGAAAAUAUCAUUUUCAAAUAAAAACACAAAAGUGGCACAAAAAAUUCUUAUGAUUUUUUUUGCUUGAAUUUUGUGCAUUUAUUUGGCUAUUAUUAAAGUAAAUAAUUCUCUUUAUAGAAAAUGUAGAAAAUAACAAAAAAUAAAUAAGCAGAAAGUCAUCCAAUAACCCCCAUGAUCCCAGCAUAAUAAUCUUUUUUAAGGUAACUGAAAUGACCAUCCUUCUUUUACAAUUGCAAACGCUAACACCCAGGGAUUUUAAGAAAUUUGUCAACUCUAGUAAGUGGUAGAGCACAGAGAAAAGAAAAGCCAGGGAAGCUUUUACAGAGCAGGAGACAAGGAUAGAAAAGGACUUACGAAUGGGGAAACACAAUUGACAAAUUAUUUUAAAAUUUUGCAGGUUUAAUCGCAUGGAGAGAGAGAGCAUAGAACACGAGAGAUAUACCAAAGCAACAGAGAGACAGAUUCUUGCUCUGUCACCCAAGUUGGAGUGCAGUGGUGCGAUCAUAACUCCAGAACCUCAAAUUGCUCAGCUCAGAAGAUCCUCCUGCCUCAGCCUCCUGAAUACCUAGUAUUACAGCAUUUUAAAUAUGUUGCUUUACUGUCAUCUGUCCUUAAUGGUUUCUGAUGUCAUAUCCACCGUCAUUUGAACGAUUGUUCCACCAUAUGUAAAGUAUUAAUUUCUGGGUGUUUUUAAGAUUUUCUUGUUCCUUUUGUCUUUCAGCCGUUUUACUAGGAGGUACCUAUACCUGUGUAGAUGCUUCUUUCAAAUGUGUCCUAUUUGGAGUUUGCUGACCUUUAGUAAUCUAUAAAUAUAGGCCUUUCACCAGAUUUGGAAAGUUUUGGUCAUCAUUUCUUCAAAUAUUUUUUGUCUCAAAUUUUUCCUUUGUUUCUAGGACUCCAAUUACCUAAUUAAGGUGUUAGACCUUUUGAAAUGUUCCACUGUUCUCUGGGGCUCAGUUUGUACUUUUCCUUUUUUUUUUUUGAGAUGGAGUCUCCUCUGUCACCAGGCUGGAGUGCACUGGUGCAGUCUUGGCUCACUGCAACCUCCGCCUCCUGGGUUCAAGCAAUUCUCCUGCCUCAGCCUCCCAAAUAGCUGGGAUUACAAGCACAUACCACCAUGCCCAGCUAAUUUUUGUAUUUUUAGUAGAGAUGGGUUUUCACCAUGUUGGCCAGGCCGGUCUUGAACUCCUGACCUCGUGAUCUGCCCGCCUCGGCCUCCCAAACUGCUGGGAUUACAAGCAUGAGCCACCGUGCCUGGCCCAGUUUGUAUUUUUUCAUAAACUUUUUGUCUCUUUUUCAAAUUGUAUGAUUUCUAUUGAUUUAUAUUUGGUUUUACUUAGAUUCUUUUGACACCUUUAUUUUAAAAAUUUGGCCUAUACAGGAAAUUUGUAUUUCAGGUUUUGUGUUUUUAUCAAUUUUAAAAUUACUUUUAUGCCUUUUUAUGUUUUCUACAAUUAUGCUGGUAUUUUCUAAUUUUUUAAUUCCUUCCACGUGUAUCUUUCUUUACCUGAUUGAGCAUAGUUAUAACUCUGUUUAAAGUUAGUGUCUGAUAAUUUCAACAUUUGGUCAUUUUUCCCCUUAAAAAUGGGUCAUUGUUUCCUGGAUCUUUGUAUAUGAAGCGGUUUUCGGAUUGAAUUGUGGACAUUAUGAAUGUAAUUAUGAAUAAAAAUCUAGGCUCUGGCUUUUUUCAUAUCACUUUAAAAAGUGUUGAUGCUUUUGUUUAGCAGAAAAAUGACUUAAACUCA